rnacentral:rRNA from 1 species
UACGUAGGCAGCAAACGUUGUUCGGAGUUACUGGGCGUAAAGAGUGCGUAGGCGGUUUGCCAAGUCCGGUGUGAAAUCUCCUGGCUUAACUGGGAGGGUGCGCCGGAUACUGGCAGGCUAGAGUGUGGGAGAGGAAAGCAGAAUUCCUGGUGUAGCGGUGAAAUGCGUAGAUAUCAGGAGGAAUACCUGUGGUGAAGACGGCUUUCUGGACCACAACUGACGCUGAGGCACGAAAGCGUGGGGAGCAAACAGG